AUGAACACUUCGUGUGUCGGCUAGGUCUGGUCGAUUGCCAUGUUUGGCUAUCGAAUAUUGCACUCGCCCCGGCCUGACUGCACCGAAGACCUUUCGACCCU
rnacentral:pre_miRNA from 1 species